GGCUGGAAAGCGGCUGCAAGAGCUUCAAGCUGUGUCUUUCCGGGUCCAGCGCCUGCUGCGAGCAACUCGCUGUUCUAGGGGCGAAGUCGAGAACUACUUCUCGUGGAGCUGAGGUUCAGCGGUGUAUGUGUGGGACACUCACAAUAAACAUCAUAAAUAAGUGAAUUCUAUAAGAGGCUGCGUAGCAAAAUGGAGUCUGCAGCCAGAUUUAUUGGGUUUCAAUCCCAGAUUUGCCACUUACUAGCUGUGUUACGCCGAGCAAAUUGCUUCAUCCUUCUGUGCUUCAGUUUCCUCUUCAGUUAAAUGAGGAUCAUCAUAGUGUCUACUUCAGAGUUGGUGUGAGAGUUGAAUGAGGAUACUCUCUGUGAGCCCAGCUGCCAUGUUGUGAGGAAGCCCAAGCCACGUGAAGAGUCUCCCAGAUAAGGUCCCAGCUGAAACCAGCAUCAACCACCAGAGAAGUAAGUGAGAGAACAUUGAGAUGAUUCCAGCCCCCAGGCUUUGAGCCAUCCCAGCUGACACCAAGAGGAGCAGAGAGAGAACUGUUCCCAGCAAGCCCGGCCCCAACUGCAGUUCCCCGACCAGGGAUGGAACCCGGGCCCUCAGCAGUGAAAGCACCGACUCCUAACCACUGGACCACCAGGGAGCUUCCGAACAAUUUUUUUCUUUUUAAUUCCCGAAAGGCCCCUUCUUGGCUCCCAAACCCUUCUGGAAAACUGACAAGAUCAGUGGACCUUCCACUUAGAAAUACACAACUUGGCAUAAAAUUUCUGGGACUUCCUAUAACCUCUGAAAACCACCCGUUAUCUCCUGGUUGAACAGUCCAGGGGAAAAACAGAGGAAGUGAGAAUCAGGAGAGCAGUCAUCCAUCGUCAGUCAUCCUCGGGGGAGAGAGAGGAGUGGCCCAGGGACCGGGGGUGGGGGCUGAGGAUGCCCCGCUUCCUGUCCUGGAGCUGGUGACUCAUGGAUGUUCACUUUUCAAGAAGCCGUGGAUGGAGCUGUACACUUUUGUACACGACUUGUACACAAAUGGUGUAUGUUACCUCCAUAAAAAACAAAACAGCAAAACAAAGUAUUUUAAUAUCCAACCUAUAAGAAAAAGGUUUGGCAGGAGAUUCUCCAGAGCAUUGACAAUGGCACGCAUAUCUACCAAGUAGGACCAUGGCACCCCCCGCUAUGCCAAAUGUUUUUGUACUGCUUCAACUUUGUGUUUUACAAUCACUAUAAAUUCUUUUGUCAUGGGGAAAAAACAAUCA